GACGUAGGGCGCGAGCGUUGUCCGGAUUUAUUGGGCGUAAAGAGCUCGUAGGCGGCUUGUUGCGUCGUCCGUGAAAACCUGUGGCUCAACUACAGGCUUGCGGUCGAUACGGGCGGGCUGGAGUUCGGUAGGGGAGACUGGAAUUCCUGGUGUAGCGGUGAAAUGCGCAGAUAUCAGGAGGAACACCGGUGGCGAAGGCGGGUCUCUGGGCCGAUACUGACGCUGAGGAGCGAAAGCCAGGGGAGCAAACGGG
rnacentral:rRNA from 1 species